GAAAGACAAUCGCGAGCCCGUUUCUGGGCUUGAGGAAAGUCCGGGCUCCACAGGGCAGCGUGCUGGAUAACGUCCAGUGAGGGUGACCUUAAGGAAAGUGUCAUAGAAACGAAAACCGCCACAAGGCUUGGCCUGAGGACAGCUUGCUGUCGUGGUAAGGAUGGAAAGGCGAGGUAAGAGCUCACCAGUGGCUAGGUGACUAGUCAGCUUGAUAAACCCCACGUGGAGCAAGACCGAAUAGGGAAGGGUUUGAGGUGGCCCGCUGAGCCUUCCGGGUGUGUCGCUUAGAAUUGCCAGGCAACUGGUAAUCCAGAUAAAUGAUUGUCGCCACUUUUGUGGAACAGAACUCGGCUUAUUGAUU
rnacentral:RNase_P_RNA from 1 species